rnacentral:lncRNA from 1 species
AUGGGAGAGCCCUGAUUUUCACGCUGCAAAGUGAAAGCACCUGCAGCCUGUGGAAACUCAUUCAUUCAAUGGCAGGAAGAGGGGGGGCUGAGCUAAUGAGCAUCACUCGUCCUUCACCGCCUCCUGCUCACUCCCAGAGCCAAAGCGGGGCUGACAUCAGGUGGAAACACCCUGCGCUGGGUCCUAUCUAGUGCCUGUGCCCGACCUUGAAUCUUUAACUUGGACGGGAAAGAAAGCGCUUUGUGCAAGAGCCAUGACUCCAUGCAAUGCACAUCAUGAGCUCUGCAGCCACCUUGGAGCGUCCAAAGGAUGGCACCAGACUCUGUACAUCAGACUUUGCACAUCAGACACUGCAGUGGAAGGUCACAAACCAUGUGGCAGAGGAGUGGGGUCCCACCUGGAAAUGGUCGUGUAAUUUGGUGCCCUGACUCUGCCCCAUAUCCUCAGAUAAACAUGGGAGAAGUGCAAGUGAAGGAGGUGUGGGCAGCAGAGCAGAGAAGCAGCAGAAGUCAGGAGAGCAUCAUCCCGAAGAUGAGAGCUGACAGCCUCAGUAAGACAACCCAGCCGCGAGCAGCCUCAUUUUCCAUCUCACAGAGGGGAAGCCAAAGCAAAGUGAAAUGGCUGGUGCCAACCAAAAAUAGGACCUGGAGCACCCGACAGCGACGCCUCUGCUUCAACUGUUCGCUCGCUCCGCUUCCCUGUUGCCUAGGGAGACAGCGUGUCACCAGGAGAAAGGAGCUGCAAGAGAAGGUGCCUCUUGAGUCCUGCUCUGGACUCCAACAGGAGAAGGAGCUUCACCUGGCUUCAACCCUGGCUCACCAGCUCUGCCAGCUCACAUCCUCUGGUCUGAGGGUUUCCCCUUAUCAUGAUGCUAGUGGUGAUGGUGACCACCCUUUGCUAGCUCCAGAGAGACCAACGAGAAGUGCUGCCCACAGCCCGGAAUUUUGUAAGGAGGGGGAGUGUAAAUUUAAAGCAGUUUUGAAAAAAAAAAAAAAACAAAAAAACAAAAAAACAAAAACAAAAAAAAAAAAAAAAAAAAAAAAACCUCUUUCAUGUUUACAGAUGAAUUUCAGAUUCCGUAUUGCUCAGAAAUUAAACCUUGUCAUUUGUGAUCAACUGCACAAUUUUCUGCUCUAUCUUCUAUAAUAUGUUCUUGUUGCUAAAACCUCCAUGUAAACAUUUAAUUUAGAGUUCUAUGUCUACAUUAUGACAAAGAAGGUCAGCAAGUUUGGGGUUACAUUUUGCCUGCCAGUAGCCUGUGGCUUGAUGCCAUUUCCUGCCCUCUGGUUCUCACUGCUGCAGGACCAGGCCCAGCUCUGACACGCGAUGUUGAGAGCUGGCACGUUGCUCAUCGCUUCUGUGUUUCUGAAGCAGAAGUCUUGAAUCUUAAAAGCACUUUUUUCUUAUAGAAUGGCCUGGGUUGAAAACAACCUUAAAGAUCAUCUAGUUUCAACCCCCCUGCUCUGGGCAGGGUUGCCAACCACUAGAGCAGGCUGCCCAGGGCCUGCUUUCUUCUUGAAACCGCUGUCCUCCCAAGGGAUCUUCAUUCAGAUAGCCAUAUAUUAUAAUGCCUACUAUACUUUCUUUGCUCAAAUAGCCAUAUACCAUGAUGACUACCAUAUUUACAUCCCAGUAGCGACCUGGGGCAUCCCACCACCAGAGGCUGUGGCACCAGGCAUGGCGCACUCCUCAAAGCAGCAGGCCUGCACCACGGGGUCAGGCUUCCCUCACACCCAUGGGCUCUGCAACACUGGUGCAAGACUGAGGAGAAUUGAGCUUAUUGGCUUUAAUGAGAUGAAACUAGAAAAAUUUCCGAGCUCUUAAGUCAUUUCCUUGAGUAAUUUUGGCAAGCCUGCCUCUCUGACUAAACUUUCUCAGGGGAAUUUUCAGAGGCAGAGGGAAAGAUCAGCCGGGACCAUCCGCUGCGGUGUGGCCGCAGGACCCAUUCUUGAAUUCUUGAAAAGGCUUGAAUUUGUGCCUUUUCCAUCUAGUGCUCCCCCACUCAGCUUCCACUGCCCCUGCUUUCCACAAAUAAAGCUUCAGGAUGAAAAUAACUGUUGAGGUCCCAUCGUUGGGCAGAGUGGCACUGCUAUUUCCUGAUAACCAUUUGUUUAUUCACAGGGGCUGUGUGCAGACAAACAACCCCGUGCUGAUAAUCAUAGACAAGAAGCACACAGGACACUCAAGCUUCAGCACAUGAAUAUAUAAGGACUUGUUAAUUUUACACAGGUGAGCAGGGCCACAGCUUUCAAUUAAACUAUCACACGUAGAAAAGUGGUAUCCAAUCUCUGCCAUGCCUGGGCUGUCACAUUUGCCUGAUGAACCUUUUGCCAUUUGCUACCCUCCUAUAUCAUACCACUUCAAGUAGAUCUUGUUUUGAGAAGUGGCUUCUCACAAAUAGUCAAAACUCUCUCUACUUGACAGAUCCAUUAUUUUGAUUUGGUGACUAUUUGCAUUAGCUGCUGGGAUCACUGAAAAGCUUCACAACCUUUUUCUUCUAAAUUAUCCUGGCAAGCUGAAGCAUUACACAGUCAAAGUAAUGUUAAAAUGGAGGGAAUACUCUCACAUGCAUCUAGGGAAACAAAAGGAACAAAACCAUAUUGUGUUUUGCCAUUAUCUGUGUUGCUAUGUUUGAAUAAGAACAGAAGAUAAGCCACAGCUUUCAGGCAUCUUUCCAAAUUAUUACCCAGCAGUAAGGGACAAAACACCUCUCCAUGAGAUGAUGAAACAAGUCAUCUGUUUCCAGGAGGUUAAGCUUCCUAAAUCCCCAGUCCUGCAGUCAUCCCCCAAAGACAACUACCUCUUAAAGUCUACGGAGGGCAUCUAGAGGCCACGUGAAGUGGUGGCAUCAGGACCUCAGAAGUCAGAAAAAUUUUCAGAUUUUAGCCACUUCAGUCUUUUUCCUACCCCAGAAAUCCCCAUUAGAUGCAUGCGUGUUCCCUGCCAAUGUACUCUGAGAACUGAAUGGUGGCAGAAACAGCAACAUUCAAAAAUAUUUUGCAACUUCACUGGUGUCUACUUCCAGUUAUGUGACUUCCAUCAUCUCAGAAGUGCAGCCGCCACAAGAACGUAAGUUCAUUCAAGCUGACACCACAAAUAUUCUGCUGCAUUCAGUGGCAGAGCACAAAAUUCCAGCAGUGGUGGGAGAAGCAAGAUGAAAGCAGUGAUUUAAAGAAAAUCUAUUUUUUUCUUUGAUUAGAGAGCUGCUGAAAGAGUUCUUAUCUCAGGGAUCAGUGACUGCUGUAGGCCUUACCCAGUCUAGGCCAAGACUACAGCCCAGAAAAGUCUUGUAAACAGCUCUCCAACUGUUAAGAUCUUGCAGAGUUAUAACAGUUCAGUCAAGUGGCGCCGCGAUUUUCAGGCAUUUGUUACCCAACUGAGAGCCACUGCAAAGCUUCUAAUAUCCAGAUGAUUCUGUUGUUCCUUAGGUGAAAGAAACCUCUUAUCUGUCUUCAGGCAUCUAUAUCUGAGCCAGCUGUCUAGACUUCCUAUGUAAACAGUGCAGAGAAACAGGCACUGGGGUGCAAUUCCCCUCAACAUCUUGCAGACACCUAAAGUAGCACAGAUUAAUUGCUCGCUAACAAUGACAGUUUACAUCCAUGAAUUACAGGGGUACUCGAGAAUUAGGGCAAAGGAGAUGUUUAAAGUCAAAUGAUAUGAGUUCCACUCAUCUCCCUUCCAGAAAUGCUCAGCACAACUGAUGACGGUUAUUUGGGAGCAUGUCAAUUAGACACGCAUGUUAGAUGUGUUCUGGUCUGAAGGCCUGACCUUGUUCUGGUUCACUGAAAGAAGUCAGACCAUCGGCCAGCAUUCAACAACAGGGCAAGAUGUGGGUCCUGGACCCUUCAGGGGUGCAAGGCUGGCUUGUGUCGUGCAAGCAAAGUGCUCUGCAAGAAAGCUUUCUGCUGGGAUGACUGCCGUGCAUUCCUACCCACUUGUUAACAUAAAAGAAAGCGUGGGUGGAAAUAUACUGCAGGAUCAUGGCAGUUCUCAUUAAUUAUGAAGAUCAAGCGGAGCUCUUACUGCUUUUUUAGUAUAUUUCCUAUGCUGAAAUUAGUGCAUUAACUGUUACUUAAACUUCAGCCAUCAGUAUAAUUUAGUCAUUAGCACAGUCUGGUUCUACAUUUUUAAAGUAAACCUCCUUGCUGCAGUUGCAGUGAUUCUGAGGAAUGCGGACAUGCUGUAUAACUGAAGCAGUGUAAUUUUUGUUACAAAAACUGUUUCCCAUCCACAAGCCCAAAGGCAAGUAGGUUUCAGAGAAAUUCAACAUCCAUUAAGUGGAAGACUUCUGAAAUUCUGUCCUCUGGUACUACCUUUGUCCAAAGGAUCUACACAAGAUUGUGCUGGCAGUGGAGAACCUGGAAUAGCUUUUUUUUUUUAAAAAAAAAAGUCAGUAUAUUAUUGUCAGUCUUUUGUCAGAAGAUCACAGUGUACAAUGAUGAGGACUAUUAGCAGCUUCUCUUUACAGAGGAAGAAACUGAGUCAUGGAGAGAAAAAAUACUGUAUCUGUGAUCACCCAGCAGAAACAGAAAAAUGCUGGUUGACAUCCACACUUCAGUGCCAAGCAUCUGCAAGUAAGCUUGACCAAAAGAAAGCAACAUAGAAGGAUCAGA